rnacentral:rRNA from 1 species
AUACGGAAGGUCCGGGCGUUAUCCGGAUUUAUUGGGUUUAAAGGGAGCGCAGGCGGAGAUGCAAGCGUGACGUCAAAUUUCGGGGCUCAACCCCGUCUCGCGUCGCGAACUGCGUCCCUUGGAUGCGGGAAGGGGAGGCGGAACUCGUGGUGUAGCGGUGAAAUGCAUAGAUAUCACGAAGAAAUCCGAUCGCGGAGGCCGCCUCCCGGCCCGUCAACGACGCUCAUGCUCGAAGGUGCGGGGAUCAAACAGGAUUAGAUACCCUGGUAGUCCGCACAGUAAACGAUGGACACCCGCGGUUUGGCCUUUAUGGCUGAGCCGCCAAGCGAAAGCGUUAAGUGUCCCACCUGGGGAGUACGCCGGCACCGGUGAAACUCAAAUGAAUUGACAGGG